UACGUAGGGUGCAAGCGUUAAUCGGAAUUACUGGGCGUAAAGCGUGCGCAGGCGGUUGUGUAAGACAGAUGUGAAAUCCCCGGGCUUAACCUGGGAACUGCAUUUGUGACUGCACGGCUGGAGUGCGGCAGAGGGGGAUGGAAUUCCGCGUGUAGUAGUGAAAUGCGUAGAUAUGCGGAGGAACACCGAUGGCGAAGGCAAUCCCCUGGGCCUGCACUGACGCUCAUGCACGAAAGCGUGGGGAGCAAACAGG
rnacentral:rRNA from 1 species